rnacentral:tmRNA from 1 species
GGGGGCGAACGGCUUCGACCGGAUAGCGGAGAAGCAGGUCGCAUGUCCAGGACGCCGGUUGGCCUGGCUAAUCAUCCGGCAACAAAACUUAAACGGCAACUAUCAGUUGCAAAUGGCUGCUUAAUUAGCAGCCCGUCCUCUCAGACUUUGCCUGUGAGUUUGAUAUGGGCGUCAGAAAGCAGGCUGGCCGAGUCGGUUGUUCGGGCCGACUUCGGCAAGAUUAAUCCCGAAAUAGCCGAGCCCAGAGCCUGUCGUUUGGCGCUUGGCAAGGCGAAAAAUAAUAAAGCGACUAAGCAUGUAGACGCCUGUUUUGAAGCAUCUCGGGACGGGGGUUCGAAUCCCCCCGCCUCCAUUG